rnacentral:rRNA from 1 species
AUUGAACGCUGGCGGCAGGCCUAACACAUGCAAGUCGAACGAGUGGCGGACGGGUGAGUAAUGUCUGGGAAACUGCCUGAUGGAGGGGGAUAACUACUGGAAACGGUAGCUAAUACCACAUCCUAUCAGCUGUGCCCAGAUGGGAUUAGCUUGGUGGUGGGGUAACGGCUCACCAAGGCGACGAUCCCUAGCUGGCUUGAGAGGAUGACCAGGCACACUGGGACUGAAACACGGCCCAGACUCCUACGGGAGGCAGAAGUGGGGAAUAUUGCACAAUGGGCGCAAGCCUGAUGCAGCCAGUCCGCGUGUAUGAAGAAGGCCUUCGGGUUGUAAAGUACUUUCAGCGGGGAGGCGUUACCCGCAGAAGAAGCACCGGCUAACUCCGUGCCAGCAGCCGCGGUAAUUC